rnacentral:rRNA from 1 species
CCUACGGGAGACAGCAGUGGGGAAUAUUGCACAAUGGGGGAAACCCUGAUGCAGCGACGCCGCGUGAGUGAAGAAUUAAUUCGUUAUGUAAAGCUCUAUCAGCAGGGAAGAAAAUGACGGUACCUGAGUAAUAAUCCCCGGCUAACUCCGUGCCAGCGGCCGCGGUAAGACGUAGGGGGCAAGCGUUAUCCGGAUUUACUGGGUGUAAAGGGAGCGUAGACGGCAGUGCAAGUCUGGAGGGAAAGGCGGGGGCUCAACCCCAGGACUGCUCUGGAAACUGUAAGGCUGGAGUGCAGGAGAGGUAAGUGGAAUUCCUAGUGUAGCGGUGAAAUGCGUAGAUAUCAGGAGGAACACCAGUGGCGAAGGCGGCUUACUGGACUGUAACUGACGUUGAGGCUCGAAAGCGUGGGGAGCAAACAGGAUUAGAUACCCGUGUAGUC